CGCUGGCGGCGUGCCUAACACAUGCAAGUCAACUUGACUGAAGGAGCAAUCUGACAGUAGAGUGGCGCAAGGGUGCGUAACGCGUAAGUAACUUGCCCCAAGGUAAGGAAUAACGUCGAGAAAUCGGCGCUAAUACCUCAUAAUGCAGCGGAUCCGCAUGGAUAUGUUGUUAAAGGUUUACCGCCUUGGGAUAGGCUUGCGUCUGAUUAGCUAGUUGGUGUGGUAACGGCACACCAAGGCUACGAUCAGUAACUGGUCUGAGAGGAUGAUCAGUCACACUGGAACUGAGUACACGGUCCAGACUCCUACGGGAGGCAGCAGUGAGGAAUAUUGGGCAAUGCUCGAAAGAGUGACCCAGCAACGCCGCGUGGAGGAUGAAGGUAUUCUAUAUCGUAAACUCCUGUGAGAGCAGACGAAAGACAGAUUAUUAAUCUGGAUGACUGUAUGCUCAGAGGAAGCCCCGGCUAACUACGUG
rnacentral:rRNA from 1 species